UGCGGCGUAUUAGGUAGUUGGCGGGGUAAUGGCCCACCAAGCCUGUGAUGCGUACGGGCUUUGAAAGAGGUAGCCCGGAGAAGGGAACUGAGAUAAGGUCCCUAGCCCUACGGGGUGCAGCAGUCGCGGAACCUUUACACUGCACGAAAGUGCGAUAGGGGGAUUUCGAGUGCUUCCACACGGAAGCUUUUGCCAAGUUUAAAUCGCUUGGCGAAUAAAAGGGGGGUAAUAUACGUGCCAGCCGCCGCGGUAAUACGUAACCCUUGAGUUGUUCCCACUUAUAUUGGGCCUAAAACAUUCGUAGCCGGCUUUUUAAGUCCUUGGUGAAAUCAAACAUCUUAAGUGUUUGAAUUGCUAAGGAUACUGGAUUGCUUGGGGAAGGUAGACGUAAAAGGAAUUUUUGGGGUAACGGUGAAAUGUUAUGAUCCCAAGAGGACCACCAGUAGCGAAGGCGUUUUACGAGGACUAGCCCGACGGUGAGGAAUGAAAGCUGGGGGAGCGACCUGGAUUAGAUACCCAGUUAGUCCCAGCCGUAAACGAUGUGAACUAGGUGUUCUGUUCCCUACAUGGGUUUGGAGUGCCGAAGCGAAGGCGUUAAGUUCACUGCCUGGGGAGUACGCUCGCCAGAGUGAAACUUAAUGGAAUUGGCGGGGACACACUACAAGGGGUGGAUGCUGCGGUUUAAUUGGAUACAACGCCAGAAAAUCUUACCAGGGACGACAGCAGGAUGAUGGACAGUCUGAAGGGCUUUCCUGACACGCUGAGAGGUCCUGUAUGGCCACCGCCAGCUCGUACUAUGAAGCGUCCUGUUAACUCAGGCAACGGGCGAGACCCACAUCAAUAGUUGCUACUAUUCAUUUGUGAAUGGGCACUCUAUUGGGACUGCAAGGGCAACCUCGAGGAAGGCGUGGGCAACGGUAGGUCUGUAUGAGCCGAAUUUCCUGGGCAACACGCGGCAUACAAUGGCUGAGACAAUGGGCUGCUAACCCGAAAGGGUGCGCUAAUCUCUUAAACUUAGCCGUAGUUCAGAUUGAGGGCUGUAACCCGCCCUCAUGAAGUUGGAAUCCCCAGUAAUCGCGUGUCACUAUCACGCGGUGAAUAAGUCCCUGUGUCUUGCACACACCGCCCAUCAAGCCAACUGAGUGGAGUUUGGAUGAGCCUACACCAUUAGGUGUAGUCGAUUCUAAU
rnacentral:rRNA from 1 species